rnacentral:lncRNA from 1 species
UAGCACCUUAUUAUUAAGUAUUCUAUUUUGAAUAAGCCAAUAAGGAAUUCUAAAGUUUUUAUUUGUAGGAGCUGAAAAAAUUUUAAUCUAUCAUUUUGUGAUCAGAAGAAGGUUAAAAAUGUAAGAUGCUUGUUUUGUGCAAAUCAAGUAUCAAGUCCACAGUGAUAUUUCAUGACUAAUCUGCGUUAAAAUUUCAAAUUAUAUCAACAUCGCUAAGUUCUUUUAUUACUUCAAUUAGUAUAAUAACAUUUUCAUAUAAUAACCAAUUAAUAUGAACAUCGAGAUCGUCAAUUAAAAUAAUAGGGAAUGGAUCUAUCUUUUGAUAGGUCCCCCAUAAAUUCAAAGAUGUGUGUGUUUUUCUAUUAGAAUGUAAGCGUUUAUAAUACUUAAUUGUGAGCCACUAGAGGAGAUUUGGAUUUUGUGACAUUAAAAUUUAUUUGUGUACUGUUUUGUGGCAUCGAGUAUAGUAACAAAUUUAAUUUCGAGGAUGGUAUAAUAGACAGAAGCUUAUACAAGUGGAAGAUACUUUAGAUCUUGCAAAUAAAUCAUAUCAAGUUGUAAUGCUUAAGCCCUUUUCAGCGUUGUAUGCCUGUUGUUCUGUUCUCUCCCUCCUUUAGUUUUUAAAGAAACUAUUAUCUUACCCAUAUUUAUAUUGAGAUCAUCUGAAUAAGGACUUCGGUUAUUCCCUUUUCUGGCUUCCUGUGUUAUGGUGUGUGGUGAAAUAUACUAACUGGUUGUUAUAAUUAUGAAAUGUACACAGUCUUAAUCGUGUGGUAGGAAGAAGAAGACCCUCCUACCUUCUCUUUUUUUUUUAAUAUAUAUAUAGCCAUUAUUAAGGUAUAAUACACUCUUCUCACUACAAUUUAUUUGACAAGAUUGGAUCAAUAUUGAUAAAAUCCUGAGGCCAACGUGUUUCGAUACCGAACCUGGCUCUUCAACAGCCUCCAAACAAUGAAUCCAUUGGUUACGAACAUUUCAGAAUUAUAUAUCAAGUGUUUCCCUUGUAAACCCUUUCGCAUUGACGGUAUACUGGUGUACCGUAUUUUGAUUCAUUUGUAACUGCUUUAUUUUUCAUGAUGUUUAAGAUAUUUUUUAAUUAUUAGAAAGAAUAAUAGUAGAUCUGUAAAAUUUAUAAAAAUAACAUUUUAUCAUGAGACUUUAUAUUCAUCCUAUAUAAGUCUUCAAUCUAUGUCAUUUUUGGGAAUUCCAUAAGAUACAUUCUAUCUGUCAUAUGUUUUUCAUGUAUAGAUAAUUCAAAUUUUUUAUUGAUUGUUUAAUAUUUGUAUAGUAUAAGGAGUAAUUUUGCCAUGUUUUGAUGAAAAAUGCAAAUGUUAUGGAAGUACAAAAUUGUUGGGACACUGUUGUCCCUAUGGGUUUGAAAUGGGUUUUUUCUCUUUUUAUUAGAUUUUAAAAUUUGUUUUUGUCUUUUUAGAGUAUUUAUAUUAAAAUAAUACAUGUGCAUACAAAUAUUUUUAUAAUUACUUUGUUAUUGAAUGUAGAAUUGUUCAUAAAUGAAAAAAAGAAUAAGAUAUUUUAACCUUAUUAGCAGGACUAUUAGUAACCAAAUUUAUAGUAUUUUAGACGAAUCAGACAGUGAUGAAAAAUAAAUUGUGAAUUCCUUAUAUGAUUAUAAUAAUUUAGUUAUAGCUUAUGAAGAGGUUACGAUAGAAACGAAUGCAUAAUAUGCUUCAAUAAUUCCUGAAGCCAAUAUACACGUUGUUAUUAUAAUACUUCGAAAUUUUCACUAUAAUUGUUAAGCUCUACAACAAAAGCAUGGGGGAAUCGAUUUCUAGAUCAAAGAACUGCUUCAUACCACUAUGAUUCAUUGAUUAACGAAAUUUUUAUCUAAGAAUCUUCUUCGAUCAUCUAGAUAUAGUAGCUAUAUCGUUUAUAACAUUGAAUAUCCAAAUAAAUUAUCAAUUAUUUACUUCAAAGCUGUAAUUGACAAAAGCCUGAUUAAAUAUUAUGUAGGGCGUAAGAGAGCAACCCAAUCGUCAAGACCAACGAAAAGAAAAAGUCAUCUGUUAUAAUGGACAAUCAUAGUGGAAAUUUACGGGAUCUUGAACAAAAAAGAAAAAUAUUUGCUUAUCAUUAGAGAAUCAUUAAAACAAUUUAUCUACGGAUUGAAGCUUCUAAGCAAGGAUUUGUGAAUUUAAAGUUGUUACAGCAGGGGAAAUCCGCGAUGACGACAACAUACAACGACUUGUGGAAAAUUCAACAAUAAGUCUAAUAAACAGCUUAUGAUCAGGCCCGUUCUAUGGAAGCUGCCAAAAAAAACGUCUAAACAUUUACUCUUAUUGCACCACUCAAUUCAAUCACUUUUAUAGUUAUACUGGAGGCUACCUUAGCUACAGUCGUUUAUAUUCCUGUAGUUUUAAGAAUUGUUGGCGUAUAAUAUGCCCAGCUCGAAAUGCUAUCUGCAACAAAUUUGAGAUAGAAUUUUAUAUUGCUAAAUCUCAUAAGAUAGAUGUUUCAGCAUCAUUUAUUGCGCCUACUCGGAACCCAGCUACAACAUGUCUUAAACCAGCUAUAUUUGAAAUAUAUAUGAAUGGGAUCCAGUGACGGAAUUUAUGAAUACUGUAAGUUCGGAAGUUUUAAUAAGUUACCAUUUGGCUUAUGAAUAUAAUUGACCAAUACGACCCAAUUUUCAUCAUAUUUACAUGGCUUCGACGUCGCUCAUGUCCUUCACUUCUGCAGUUUGUGACAAUAUAUAUACAAAUGGAAACGUAUAUUCUACCCGAAAAUUAUACAUUCUUAAAGAUAUCUGCUGUGAAGCCAUUUUGGGACUGGAUUUUUGUCUCUUGAUUCAUCGCAAAAGAUGCCUUUCGGAGGCAACUGUCAACUUCUGACUGUGUCUUCCUAGUUAUUAUUAAGCACCUCCAAACACUUUUCAUUUUUACUACCAGGAUUGUUACUGAGUCUAGACGUUAUUAAAGAGAUGAUGAUCAAUUUAUGUGUACUGAAGUAGAUUGCAUGCUAUACGAAGAUAUUAUUUCACACAGUCGUUCUCCGUGGAAGGCUCAAGUAUUAGUAAGGACAAAUGCUGAUCAUAGAAAGCGCUUGUAAUUGACUGUUCCCAGAAAAUUAACAAAUUUAAUCUUAUUGAUGCAUAUCCUCUAUCUAGAAUAGAAGUUCUACUAGAUAAUUAGCUCAAAAUAGGAUAUUUACUACAUUUCAUUUGAGAAGUGCUUAUCAUCAAGUGGUAAUCUCUGAAAAAGAAGGUUGUCACACAGCUUUCGAGGCACGACGAAUACUAUAUCAAUUCAGACAAAUACCUUUCGAAGUAACAAAUGGUGUAUCGAGCUUAUAGGGAUUUAAUGGCUUUAAUUAUUUAGAAAGAAAAUUUGAAGACAAAAAAUACUAACAUAGAAGAUAUGACUUUUUGAGGCCUUCAUGGAAAAGAGCUUAAUGAAAUUUUUUAAUCUAAUUUGACGAUUAAUGAAAUCAAAAGUAAGUUAUCACAAGACUCUAUGGAAUAUCUGGAAUUCCGAAUUUAAAAUGGCAUACUGAAACCUGAUUCUAAGAGGAUACGACCACUGAAUUUCUGAACCUUUCGAACAAGUGUCUCUGAAAUUAAUUAUCAUUUCUCAUUAGUAAAUCACUUAUUCUCUUACAAAAUUACAACGAUUAUCUGCAGUGAUAAAAUUUCCGUUAGAAUCGUAAUCUAAAAAAGCUUUUUGAAGAACAUAGUAAUUAAAUUAUAAAUUCUGUUAUUGCUCCAAUCGAUGUAUCUGGUUAUGGAAAGUUAUGAGUAUGACUAGGCAAUUGGAGCUACAUUAAGCCAAGAGGGUAUACCUGUUGUUGUGGGAUUACCCACUAUUAUUUGGAGCCAUUAGACGUUGAUUACUUUGCUGUAAUAAUAUAGAUAUGUACUCGUCCUUUUGUAUUUGAUGAUCUGUGCUUUGCAAUACAGUUCCUUUGUUAAUAUUAAUUUGGUUAAAUCACUUAACGCAGUCAAGUGAUGAGAGGUUUUGAGAGCCUCAAUAUUCGUGUAUACUAUUAUAUUAUUUUUUUAAUUUAUUUUAAAAAUAUUGUUGAUGAUUGGACCCUGAUUUUACUACCAAAAGUAUGAACAAAAAUAUUCAGGGUAGAAAAUAACCAUUGAAAGUUGUUCAAUAAGUAUUUUCUUGAGUACAAAUGUCAGUAGAUUGUGAUUUUUUAAGUUGCAAUAUGUAUUUUGUGUAGUUUAGCCAAGAAAUUUGAAUAAAAAAUUAACACUUUUCGAUAAAUGACUGGCUAUAUGGAGCCAUAUCUACCAAUAAGAAAGGCCUACAGGCUUGAUUUACUUAUAAUUUAAUAAGCUUUAAAUAUAUACCUAAUUUGUACUAUUUUUUGUAGAAGAACAUUGAAAAAAAACAAAAAUAUUACACCAACUCCCUAAUUUUAUUGUCAUGUGAAAAAAAAUACCGUCUGUCAUUAAAAUGGGUGUUACAUAAAAACGUUAGGAGCUAUUUACUUGAAAGUUUAAUUGUUUUUACCUAAAAUA